ACUUUAUUUUUAUCUUAUCUCUUCUAUUUUUGGUAUAUCAUCGCGAAACCUAAACGUGAUUGCGAAACCUAAACAUCCAUCUCCUUUGAAUCUUCCUCUCUCGAUCACAGAAGAAAAUUUUCGCUAUUUGGUUUCUGUAGCUCUCAAUCACAGCUUUCAAUUGUCCCUGUUUUGUGUGUUUAGAUCGGUUGCUCUGCAUUGUGGGUUCACAACAGCUGCUUCGGUGAUUUUUGUUUGCUUGACUUGUUCACAGCAGUUGCAUAUGUUCAUAACUGCUUUGCCGGUUCGUGGCUGCUUUAGGGGUUUGCGACUUCGGAGGUUCGCAACUGCUUCGGUUUAACGCGUGUGCGCUUUCCUUUCAGAAUCACGGCGUGUCAUUGUUAUGGAGUUAGCAGUGUGUUAAACACCCUAGAGGAUAUCAUGUAUUGUGCUUGACCAAAUUGAUUUUGGGUUUCUCAUUAUGAAGUUGGUUUAUACAAGAUAGAAUAGCAUACCACAGUAAUGCGGAUGUUGCCAUUGAUUUAUACCACCACUACAAGCGGGAUGUGGCUAUGAUGAAGGAUAUUGGAUUCAAUGCCUAUAGGUCUCCAUUUCUUGGCCAAGAAUACUACCUCGUGGAGUUAACCGAGAAGACAUUGUAUAUUAAAACAAUCUCAUAAAUGAUCUGAUAGCAAAUGAACAACAACCUUUUAUAACUCUAUUUCACUCUAGUUUCCCUCAAGCUCUUGAAGUUAGGAUGCUUUUGAUGAGCUGAAUAUGCUCACCUUUGAUGUAUGGACAUAAUGCCAUAGCUGUGAAUGAAUUUCAAAGUCAAGUAGAUUUAUGGCUAGUGGUGAGAAAGAAAAACCAUCCUUGCUGGCCAAGAAUGUUAAAGUGUCAUUUCCAAGUGGUUCUAUGGUUGCAAUCCUUGAUGAGUUGGAAGAAAUUGCAUCAAGACCUAGUCAAACUCCAACACUCCCCCACAUUGGUUCUACUAGUAAGAGAAAAAGAGGUCCUACCAAAUGUCUCAAGACUCAUGGUUUGAGAUAUGAUGAGCGUUUACCGGUUAAACUUAAUGUCCUUGGUCAACCUGUUGGCACUUAUCGAGCUACAUUGAGCAAUUAUUUGGGAACAUUAGCUAGGAAUGCACAUUUAGCUCCUCUAACUUUUACUAGUUGGAAAGGAUUGAAAGAACAUUGGGAUGACAUGUGGAAAACAGUAUUGUCAAAAUUUGAUAUUGAAGAACGUGCUAAAAAGUGGGUUUUAGGAAGCAUAUGUUCAAGUUGGAGGAACCACAAAUGUCGAUUGAAGACAAAGUAUUUUUUUCCAAAUAUGCCAGAUGAUUACAACUUCAAAAAUCGACCCCCAAGUGUUCCACUUGAGCAGUGGAAAAUUCUUAUUAAAUUUUGGAAAUCUGACAUAGCUAAGGUUCGCUGUGAGAAGAACAAAACAAGCAGAGCAAAACUUACUUCUAUACAUACCACAGGAACAAAAACCUUUGCUGAAAUACGAUAUGAAGAGAUGAUGAAAAAUAUUGAUGGAAGAGAGCCAUCUCGUGCAGAAAUGUUCAUCAUGACACAUAAGCCUAAAAAUGAGGAAACCAAAGAGAUUAUUUCAAAACUUGAGGAUGCAAUUUCUUCGCAUUCAAUAGAACCAGAGAAAAACUCAACCCGAGAUGAUAUAUUUUCCCAAGUCUUUGGAAAAGAUCGACAUGGUUAUGUGCGCACAUAUGGAAAAGGGGUUUCACCUUCCGAUCUAUGGGGAUCUAACUCCCGAGUUGGAAUACAAAAAUUAAUUGAUGAAGUUCAAAGGAAUGCUCAGGUUGAACUACAAAGCAUGAAAAACAGAAUGCAAGAGGAAAUGGAAAUAAAGCUAAAAGAGCAAGUGAAGGAGCAAGUGGAAACCAAACUAAAAGAGCAACUAGAAGCAAUGAAAGUUGAGCUUCUAAACAACUUCAAAAUCGCUUUUACUCAAAUCCCAAGUUAUGCUCCAGAAGUAAUGGUUUCAAAUUUGAAUAAAGAGGAGGUGGACAUUGAAGAUGAUCCAACAUUGAAGAUGAUGGAUAAUGAUGACAACAUCUCUCAUAAAGUUAUUGAAGAUCCUACAAGUGAGCUCGUAGAGAAAAAUGCACAUGCCUUGAUCUUUCCAUUCACUCAUACUAGCCCCAGGAGAAAAAAGGAAAAAGUGCAGAAAACUAACACCAAGUUAACUAAGAGGAAAUUAGAAGAUCUUAAUGUUGAAAUUGUCACACUUGAUAACGAUCUUAGCAUUCUCAAACAUCCAUCCAAUGCCUUUGAGCUUUUCUUGCAAGAAUUUGCAAACAACUAUAAAGAAACAAAAGUUGAUUUAGACAAUUUUGAAAGGGUUAAGAAAAAAGCUGUUAAGGCAUGGAACUCUCUGACAAAUAAAGAAUUAGAGUCUUAUUUCAAUGCAGCAACUAAACUCAAAAGAAAAUUACAUUUGAGUACAUUAAAGGAAAGUGUUGUUGAAGGAAAAGAAAUAGGAAAAAGAGAGCGGAAACCUAAAAUUCAUUUUGACAGGACUGACUUGAAAAAAUUGAAACAAGAGAAAUCUCACAAGUUUGCUAAAUGAUGCACAUACAUUGUUACAUGCAAAUGAGCUGAAGAAGCGGCUUGAAUAAGGUAAUGAUCGUAGGAAACAUCAAAAGAUUCUGAAUCAGGAAGAUGAUGAAGAAUAAGACUGAAAUUAAAGCUAAUCCAGUAUCAUAUCUCCAAGAAAUUCUGAACUGUCAAAAUAAAAAUCCAUGCAUUAGUAACAGAAGAAGAGAAGGACAGUUCAAUUUAUGUUGAUGGUUAUUAAGAUCAUAUUUUAAACUUGA